rnacentral:rRNA from 1 species
UACGUAGGGUGCAAGCGUUAAUCGGAAUUACUGGGCGUAAAGCGUACGCAGGCGGCUUUGCAAGACAGGUGUGAAAUCCCCGGGCCUAACCUGGGAACUGCAUUUGUGACUGCAUAGCUAGAGUUUGUCAGAGGGGGGUGGAAUUCCACGUGUAGCAGUGAAAUGCGUAGAUAUGUGGAGGAACACCGGUGGCGAAGGCGGUUCUCUGGGCAUGAUCUGACGCUGAGGAGCGAAAGUGUGGGGAGCGAACAGG